CCUGGUGGCUCAGAGGUUAGAGCCUCUGCCUGUAAUGCGGGAGACCUGGGUUCAAUCCCUGGAUCAGGA
rnacentral:tRNA from 1 species